GAUGAACGCUGGCGGCGUGCCUAAUACAUGCCAGUCGAGCGAACAGACGAGGAGCUUGCUCCUCUGACGUUAGCGGCGGACGGGUGAGUAACACGUGGAUAACCUACCUAUAAGACUGGGAUAACUUCGGGAAACCGGAGCUAAUACCGGAUAAUAUAUUGAACCGCAUGGUUCAAUAGUGAAAGACGGUUUUGCUGUCACUUAUAGAUGGAUCCGCGCCGCAUUAGCUAGUUGGUAAGGUAACGGCUUACCAAGGCAACGAUGCGUAGCCGACCUGAGAGGGUGUUCGCCCACCCGGAACCGGGGACACGGCCCAGAUCCCUAGGGAGGCAGCAGUAGGGAAUCUUCCGCAAUGGGCGAAAGCCUGACGGAGCAACGCCGCGUGAGUGAUGAAGGUCUUCGGAUCGUAAAACUCUGUUAUUAGGGAAGAACAAAUGUGUAAGUAACUAUGCACGUCUUGACGGUACCUAAUCAGAAAGCCACGGCUAACUACGUG
rnacentral:rRNA from 1 species